AGAUAGAUGAUAGAUAGAUAGAUAAAGCCCCUCUGUCCUUUCUUAUUUGUCACCCAUUUAGAUAUUUUAUGCCUGAACCUGUUUUUGUUCCACAGGUACCAGGAGCUGGGAAGUGCCUGUUCUUCCUGCAGUCUUGCAGCUUCAGUAACCCCAAAUAUAUUUAGACUGAUGACUCGAUUCCCUCAUCACAAAGAUAUGUGAGAAGGAAUUGUAGUCUAUCUUGUAAAAACAGUGCUACACUUGUACAUGCAUGUGUAGGACUGUUAAAGAUUUUACAAGAUACACGGGAAUGUGCGGCUGCUUAUCUUGGGAAAGGUGGGAGCUCAGCUUUAAAAAAGAAAUCCACCCUCUACCCCUGGCCUGGACUGCCAAGUUUUAGCUGCGCAUUCCCUGUUUGAGGCACAUCCUGCACACAGAGGUGAAUACGCUCUCCAAUUUAGAGGGAAGAUUUAGGAGCAAACUCUACUUCAUUUACAUCAUUAAAAUCCUAAUGAGGCUGUAAAUCAGGGUAAGAGUAUGGUUGAGGUCGAUAGGGUUGGGUGGAUUUAAAUGGCUGCAGAAUUUGUCCUGUUUAGGUGGAAAUAUAGACCAGAUGAGCAUAGGAGAGCUGAAAGAAAAAAAAUUUCACAUUCUUGUUCAGAUCCAAACAGAGUAACGGCACCUAUCAAUUUUGGGCCAGAAUGUUUUGCUUCUUUCUGAAAAGAGAUAACAGUGAAAAUGUUCACUGUCCUAAAUCACAGUGGCCAAUGAUAAACACAUUAAAAUGGGCCAAAAAUAAUUUAUAAAAGCUUGAAAUAAUUUCUUUUCCCUGACAUAUCUUUGAUAGGGUAGUAAUUAGAACUAGAGUUGUAUUCCUCAGUUUAAAAUUUUCUUCAAACUAUUAACAAAAUUUGAUGUAUUUCCCAAAAUACACCAACAUGAUUACAUUUUCCGUUACUUCCCUUUUGUAAGCAAGCUUCAAUAUUUCUAGUAUUACAUAGCAUGGAAUGAUCUGGAAAUACAUAUGUUCACUGAGAGCUCUGGUUUGAAUCUGAAGUCUUAAUUAAUGUUGUUUUACAGUGUUUCAGUACAAGAGGGCAUAGUUUAGAAGCUGAAAAAGGCAGCCCAUCUUGUAUGCCCAGUCCAGACCACUGGUUUAAAUGGAAUUCUCCACCUAGCACAGCCCAUGGAAUCAGCCUCUCUGCUGAGCUGCAGCCAGCUUGUUUUUCUAUUCCUUAAACAGUCCUGCAGCACUUGCCAGGAAAUGCAAGAAAAUAAAAUGACUCACUGAAAUAGUAGUUGUUUCCAUUGGAAAAAUUAUUAAAAACAAACAGUAAUGUUAUCAUAUAUAAACUUUCAUAUUAACAUUCCACAGCACAAUUGUUUCUGUUGUUGUGUGGCAGUGUCAUAUCAAGGACCAUUUUGUCUUAAAAAUAAUAUUAAUGUGAGCUGAUGCAAGUGGUGAUAUUCCUAAUGCAGUUGUGCUGACACAAGGCAUGGAAUGACAAUCUAUGGACCGUGGAAAAAACCCACUGUCUGCUGAGCCAAGCUCAUGUCUUCAACCUGCAUAGCAGCAAAUCUCUGAUUUAAUUGUGAAGCUCUUUGCUUACAGGCAGCAUUAAUUCCAUAUACCACCUAUGUUAAUUAUGUUUAUAUUACAGACACACAAACAGGGUUGUUUUUUUUUUUUCCAAAAUGUGAAGGGAGUGGUUUUAAAAGACAAGAUGCCAGAUAAGAUUUCAAAGCUGCCAGAGAACUUGCAGAUGAAGAACUGCAUUAAGCAGACUAACAAUGAAUUUAUUAUCUUCCAGUGAGAACAGUCGAACAAAUUUCACACCUCACACAAUUGCAAAGGGAUUAUGGGCACAUUGACAACACUUGACUCAGUUUGCUUCCAGGACGGUGUAUUUUUGGAAUUGCUCAGACACCUUCCUGCAUUCUGACCUCUCUGUGCCUCCAAAUUCCUUUAAGGUCUCCCAGAAUUGCAGUGAUGCCACUUCCUCCAGAGUCUCAGGACGGAUGGCACAGAUAAAGACCAUUUUUACCAGUAGUGCAAUUUCACCCCCAAUAGAUCAAACCCCUCUGUCCUCAAAGUCUGGCACAACACAAGAAACAAUAGGAACCCUGACUACCCAUAGGAAUUCAUGUUUAUCUCUGGAAGGUCAAAACCUAUCCCAGGUUCAGUUUUCAGCUCAACAUGGGGAAGGUGCUGCUAAGGUUCAGCUCUUUAAAAAAAAACUGUGGUAAAACUGUCUAGAAGAAGAAGUUUGAUGCACUCCUGCAGGAUUCAUUACUUCCCCAAUAAAUUCAACAUGGCAUUUCAACAUGUUUGUAUUGUGACUUCACUAGUUUUUGUUAUGUAUUUGAAAUAUAAUGAUAUUUGAUAAUAGUUCAUGGCAGAGUUAUUUUUAAAAUGUAUAAUAGUGACAGCAUUCAGACAUAUUACACACUCCAUUUGAAUGAGAAAAAGUUUGUGAUUCACUUGCCUUACAGAAAUUGUAUUUCACUGUCAUUAUCAAAAUUACAUUAUUUAAGUACUGCACGAUUUUCAUACCAAAUUAUCUUUUCACAGAAAAAAAAAAAAUCAGUGCGGUCAAUUACAGUGUAUUAAAAUCCUGAACACCAUUUUCAUAUUACAUUACAAACAUUCUUUGUGCAUUGUUUCUUUGCUGUAGCUCUGCUGUUUCAUCAGAUAUAAUCACCACUGUCGAGAUGUACAGAACUGGUCUGAAUUGGGAAGAAUGUACAGAAGAUGUUGAUGCUGGGAUCCAUUAUGCUAAAUGUACAUGUUAAUCACCAAUGUCCUAUUAUGCUUAUCUUUCUGUGGGUUUUUGGCUAAUUUUCCAGGUCCAGGAUAUUAACAGCGCCUUUGGUAUGCAUGGAUUAGGUUAUUCUAUUAGGGAUGAAAUGGCUAAAUGGGUGAAACCAAAGAAAUGCAGUAAAAAGCUGUUGCCUGUGGAUU